rnacentral:rRNA from 1 species
UCCGUAGGUGAACCUGCGGAGGGAUCAUUACCGAGUUUACAACUCCCAACCCCUGUGAACAUACCAAUUGUUGCCUCGGCGGAUCAGCCCGCUCCCGGUAAAACGGGACGGCCCGCCAGAGGACCCCUAAACUCUGUUUCUAUAUGUAACUUCUGAGUAAAACCAUAAAUAAAUCAAAACUUUCAACAACGGAUCUCUUGGUUCUGGCAUCGAUGAAGAACGCAGCAAAAUGCGAUAAGUAAUGUGAAUUGCAGAAUUCAGUGAAUCAUCGAAUCUUUGAACGCACAUUGCGCCCGCCAGUAUUCUGGCGGGCAUGCCUGUUCGAGCGUCAUUUCAACCCUCAAGCCCAGCUUGGUGUUGGGACUCGCGAGUCAAAUCGCGUUCCCCAAAUUGAUUGGCGGUCACGUCGAGCUUCCAUAGCGUAGUAGUAAAACCCUCGUUACUGGUAAUCGUCGCGGCCACGCCGUUAAACCCCAACUUCUGAAUGUUGACCUCGGAUCAGGUAGGAAUACCCGCUGAACUUAAGCAUAUCAAUAAGCGGAGGA